CCUACGGGGGGCAGCAGUGAGGAAUAUUGGUCAAUGGACGAGAGUCUGAACCAGCCAAGUAGCGUGAAGGAUGACUGCCCUAUGGGUUGUAAACUUCUUUUAUAUGGGAAUAAAAUGGUCCACGUGUGGGAUUUUGUAUGUACCAUAUGAAUAAGGAUCGGCUAACUUCGUGCCAGCAGCCGCGGUAAUACGGAGGAUCCGAGCGUUAUCCGGAUUUAUUGGGUUUAAAGGGAGCGUAGGUGGAUUGUUAAGUCAGUUGUGAAAGUUUGCGGCUCAACCGUAAAAUUGCAGUUGAAACUGGCAGUCUUGAGUACAGUAGAGGUGGGCGGAAUUCGUGGUGUAGCGGUGAAAUGCUCAGAUAUCACGAAGAACUCCGAUUGCGAAGGCAGUUCACUGGACUGCAACUGACACUGAGGCUCGAAAGUGUGGGUAUCAAACAGGAUUAGAUACCCGAGUAGUC
rnacentral:rRNA from 1 species